rnacentral:rRNA from 1 species
UACAGAGAUCUCAAGCGUUGUUCGGAUUCAUUGGGCGUAAAGGGUGCGUAGGUGGCGGGGUAAGUCUGGUGUGAAAUCUCGGGGCUCAACCCCGAAACUGCACUUGAUACUGCCUUGCUCGAGUACUGGAGAGGAGACUGGAAUUUACGGUGUAGCAGUGAAAUGCGUAGAUAUCGUAAGGAAGACCAGUGGCGAAGGCGAGUCUCUGGACAGUUACUGACACUGAGGCACGAAGGCCAGGGGAGCAAACGGG